rnacentral:lncRNA from 1 species
CCGAGCGUGCGGCUGUGCUGCUUCCUCCGGCCACCGCCUCUCGUGAGCCCAUGCCGGACGAAAAAACUGCAAGGCUCAUCCCCUCUCCUCCUCGAGCGUGUUCGGCCGCGGCGAGGCGCUGACUUUCUUCUUGGACGGCGAGCUGAUAGAUGCGUCCGAGCGGCGGCGAUGGUUCCAUGGCGAGAAUCUGAGAUCGGAAGGCCGAGUAAGAGUCGUUAAGGAUGAGUAAGAAUCGUGUGCUCUUUUCCCUUUCCCGCAUGUCUCUGUACUGCCUUAGUGUGGCCUCGGGUCCCUGGAGACGCUCCUCGGCCGACUCCAACUCGUUCCACAGAGAGGAGAGACGGUUGAAGCAAGCAGUAACUGAGAGGUUCCCUUGCUUCAAUUCCGUCAGGCUUUGCGUGAUGCUGAAGAGCCGUGCUCGGUCGAGCCGGCCGUACAUCUCCUUGAUGCUGUCCCAGAUCUGCUUGGAGUCUUCGGUGGGUGGCAGUCCAGCGGCAACGUCGGGAGCGAGCGUGUUGCCGAUCCAAGUGCGAACCAACUGGUUGCACUUUCGCUAGAGACGCUGGAGGCGUUCGUCGGUCGGGAACGGGACGGCUCCGUCGAGGAAGCCGUCCUUGUCCUUCGUCACCAGAGCCCGCCGGAGAUCACGAGCCCACGACGAGUAAGUUUCCGGUCAAGUAAGUUGG